rnacentral:rRNA from 1 species
GAUCCUGGCUCGGGAUGAACGCUAGCUACAGGCUUAGCACAUGCAAGUCGAGGGGCAGCAUGUUGGUUGCUUGCAACCAAUGAUGGCGACCGGCGCACGGGUGAGUAACGCGUAUCCAACCUACCCUUGUCCAUCGGAUAACCCGUCGAAAGGCGGCCUAACACGAUAUGCGGUUCACAGCAGGCAUCUAACGUGAACGAAAUGUGAAGGAGAAGGAUGGGGAUGCGU